GCUCCAAUAGCGUAUAUUAAAGCUGCUGCGGUUAAAAAGUUCGUAGUCGAAAGCCUGCCGCAGACAGGGGGUCCGUCCUUUGGACGUGAAUUCAGCUUGCCUGGGGCAUCACGGGGGGUCUCCGCACUGCAGUUGACUCUGCGGUGCGGGGUUCCCCGCCUUUACUUUGAGGAAAUCAGUGUGCUUCGAGCGAGCAGGGG
rnacentral:rRNA from 1 species